CCAAUAGCGUAUAUUAAAGUUGUUGCAGUUAAAAAGCUCGUAGUUGAAUUUCGGGAUCAAUACGACGGUCGUGCCUUUGGUAUGUACUGGCGUUAUUGAUUUCUCCUUUCUGAUGAACCAUGAUGUCAUUAAUUUGGUGUUGUGGGAAGUCAGGACUGUUACUUUGAAAAAAUUAGAGUGUUUAAAGCAGGCACACGCUUGAAUACAUUAGCAUGGAAUAAUGAAAUAGGACGUUCGAACCUAUUUUGUUGGUUUCUAGGAUCAACGUAAUGAUUAAUAGGGAUAGUUGGGGGCAUUAGUAUUCAAUUGUCAGAGGUGAAAUUCUUGGAUUUAUUGAAGACUAACUACUGCGAAAGCAUUUGCCAAGGAUGUUUUCAUUAAUCAAGAACGAAAGUUAGGGGAUCGAAGGCGAUCAGAUACCGUCGUAGUCUUAACCAUAAACUAUGCCGACUAGGGAUCGGAUGAUGUUAAUUUUUUAAUGACUCAUUCGGCGCCUUACG
rnacentral:rRNA from 1 species